GACAGCAGAUCCCUCAGCUGGGUUUUUCCUUCCCCAUUGAUGAUUCCCAAUUUGUAGCAUUUGCUGGGAAAUUUCUCCAGCCAGGCUGAGUUCGCCCUCCAGCUCCCUAGGUGAGAUCAGUCACCACAUGGUCAGUUCUGCUCUGUCUGCUAGUCCAGGGAAGCUGCCUGCUGAGUGUGUGACUGGAGGCUGGGCUAGGAGGCUAAAGUUUGGAUGUUAGUGUAGUUGUAUAACCUACACCUUGAGCCCUGCACCCCUUUGUGGUGAAGGGAAAUCUUGGGACGGACACAGCCUGAUUCCUGCCUGAGGAGGAUUCCUGCCAGCAGACAGCAGCCCCUCUGCAGUGACUGAGGAGUCCAGCAUCAUCUUCGAACCUGAGGAUCAUUCAUGGAGUUUGUAAAAGGCUAAAGCUCAUCCAGGGAAUGAAGUCUCCUCUCUUCUUCAGAUGCACGUGGCUUCAAAAACACCCAGAAACAAACAAACAAAACAAACACAGAUCAUUAAGGAAUACAGAUCCUUGGGGACCCCGCUAUUUACCUCUCUCCAUUGUGAAAACUAUUUAUUUCCACUCUUUGUUUCCUAUCUUUUGACCAUGAGAAUACCUUCCCUCUUAUCCCAUGACUACUUAGGGUACGUCUACAGUACGAAAUUAAUUCAAACUUAUUCUAUUCGAAUUUUCAGAAGUAAUUUUAUACAUUCGGUGUUGUGUGUCCCCACUAAAGCGCGUGAAUUCGGCAGAGUGUCCACAGUACCGAGGCUAGCAUCGAAUGUCGGAGCGGUGCAAUCCCACAGUUCUCACAGUCCCGACGCCCAUUGGAAUUGUGGGUUAAGCUCCCAGUGCACUAUGGAGCAAAAACAUUCUCACGGGUGUUUCUGGGUGUGUGCCGUCAUUCGCUCCUCCCUCCGUGAAAGCUACGGCAGACGCCAUACUGCCAGUAGACGGUGCAGUACGGUGCACCGCCUGUCUCUAUGAAUCCACCCUCUCGUCUUUCUAUCUACCCUUUUAUCUAACCAUUUCCCGCCUUUUUUCGGCUACCGUGAACCAAGCAGCACAGCUUCUGCCGCAAACUCUGCUCUCCCGCUCUUGCAUGGCUAGCUAAUUUUUCCAUGUUGUCUGUCCUGGGCUCCCGUGGAAGCUACAGAAGGCAACAAUUCCCCGCCAUUUUUCGGCCAUCGUGAACUGAGCCGCACAGCUUCUGCCGCUUUUUCCAUGUUGUCGGUCCUGGGAUCCCGUGGAAGCUACAGACGGCAACAAUUCCCCGCCGUUUUUCAGCCAUCAUGAACUGAGCCGCACAGCUUCCACCGCUUAUUCCAUGUUGUUGGUCCUGGGAUCCCGUGGAAGCUACAGACGGCAACAAUUCCCCGCCGUUUUCCGGCCAUCGUGAACUGAGCCGCACAGCUUCUGCCGCAAACUCUGCUCUCCCGCUCUUGCAGCUCUCGCGAGCUUCCCGACUCCGUGAAAGCUACAGAAGACAACCAUUUACCGCCUUUUAUCAGCCAUCUUGAACCGAACAGCUCUCCUACGUUUCGCGCCCUUUUCCCAAGAUUACCCGUUCAGGCGCCAUAGCACGGCAAGCAUGGAGCCCGCUCAGAUCCCCGCUGCAGUUUUGACCAUUGUAAAUACCUUGUGCAUUAUCCAGCAGUAUGUGCAGUACCUGCAAAACCGGGCGAGGAAGCGACGACAGUGCGAUUACUAUACUGAUGAGGACAUGGAUACAGACAUUCCUAGAAGCACAGCAUGUGGCGAUUGGGAGAUCAUGGUGGCAUUGGGCCAGGUUCAUGCCGUGGAAUGCCGAUUCUGGGCCCGGGAAACAAGCACAGUCUGGUGGGACCACAUAGUGUUGCAGGUCUGGGAUGAUUCCCAGUGGCUGUGAAACUUUCGUAUGCGUAGGGCCACUUUCAUGGAACUUUGUGACUUGCUGUCCCUUGCUCUGAAGCAAAAAAGACACCAAAAUGAGAGCAGCCCUCACAGUUGAGAAGCGAGUGGCCAUAGCACUGUGGAAGCUUGCAACGCCCGACAGCUAAUUGCUGCUUGUUGUGUGCUCCACAAUAUCUGUGAGAGUAAGGGGGAGACGUUUAUGGCGGGGUGGGAGGUUGAGGCAACUCGCCUGGCGGCCAAUUUCGCACAGCCAGACAACAGGGCGAUUAGAAGAGCGCAGCAGGGCGCGCUGCGCAGCAGAGAACCUUUGAAAGCCAGUUUCAUGACUGGCCAGGGUACAGUGUGACAGUU